rnacentral:rRNA from 1 species
AGCGAACGCUGGCGGCAGGCCUAACACAUGCAAGUCGAACGAACUCUUCGGAGUUAGUGGCGGACGGGUGAGUAACACGUGGGAACGUGCCUUUUGGUUCGGAAUAACUCAGGGAAACUUGUGCUAAUACCGAAUGUGCCCUUCGGGGGAAAGAUUUAUCGCCAUUAGAGCGGCCCGCGUCUGAUUAGCUAGUUGGUGAGGUAACGGCUCACCAAGGCGACGAUCAGUAGCUGGUCUGAGAGGAUGACCAGACACACUGGGACUGAGACACGGCCCAGACUCCUACGGGAGGCAGCAGUGGGGAAUAUUGCGCAAUGGGCGAAAGCCUGACGCAGCCAUGCCGCGUGAAUGAUGAAGGUCUUAGGAUUGUAAAAUUCUUUCACCGGGGACGAUAAUGACGGUACCCGGAGAAGAAGCCCCGGCGAACUUCGU